CAUAAUUCUACUUUGAACUAUAGGUGCAUGAAUAUUAAAAAUUAGAUAUUCAAAAAAUGAUAUUCAUGUUGAAUAAUUUAUUUUUAAACCAUAUACAAAAACUGACCCAAAAUUUUGAAGUCCUUGUCCAUGAAAGAUGAUCAUCAAAGUGUGGUAGAAGUGAUUUUUAAUUCUAUAAAAUUCAAACGAAAUCAGAAAAUUACGAAACUUGUUGAGGUGUCAUGUUAUCACAUGAGGAGCCUACGAUAAAAAUUUGAAAAAAAUUGGAGCAAAUUGUGACGUC
rnacentral:lncRNA from 1 species